ACUAUCAGUCAGGGUCAAGAACUCUUGAAGACCGAUCCGUAUUGCUGUUAUCCUCCAGACAAAAUUCCAUCUUCGUGAGACCCAUAGUUCUCCCCUGAAUUUCUGGCAUUUGAUUGUACUUGAAACAGGUUGUAAUCUCAAUUGGGGUCCAAAUUUUUUUUCUUCUGACAGAGUUGAUGGACGAUGGGCUCAAGAAUGCAAAGCGACUGGGAGGAAAAUUGGCCACCCGUGAAAGACAACUGCUGAGGGGAAAAACAUGUUCAAGAAAUGGACUAUGGAGAGGACACUCUACCUCUUAUUGAAGUAUUUCCUAAACUUCCAGU